GAAAUGAUUAGGAAAAUCAAAUUAAGGCUGAUGUCAUUAGGCAAGAAAAAAGAAAUAAAGCAUUUAUUCCUCCAGAAGAACCAAUUCAAGAUAGAAAAGAAGUAAAAGAUACCAAAAUUAAUAUAGAACAAUUUAAAAAGAAUAUCAAGAAAUCACAGAAAAGAGGAUUCAGGCCAGAUCAAGAUACAUAUGAAAUACCCCAGAAAAAGAAAAAAAAGAAAUAAUUUAUUUACAGUAAUUAAAAAUUUAAGGAAUAAAUU